GUAAGCAAAAACUCUCAAGGAAAUAAAGGCUUGGUAAGAUCCUGCCUGUACCUCUACGGGUACGUGCUUUGCAAUAAAGUGAAUAAAUAUAUUAAAAUAUUACUUUAUCCAUUUAUUUGAAAGCAUACUACUUUUUAUUACAUUCUACCAACAACUUUGCAAUGGUACGGUUUGUUAAAAUAGGUCGUUAGAUUAAAUAUCUCCAGUAUAAGCUACCAAGUAUAUUGCAUAUCGUUAGUACUGUAAUCAAGAAUUAGAUUCAAUGGUGCAAUAUUUUGCGCAAUAUAUAGUAAAAUUAAAUCCAAUACAUGGUUAAACUUAUCUAAACACCUUCGUAGAGUGUUCUGUUUUCGUAGUUGGUACUUCGUACACCCAGGCGUAACCAUCACCAUCCUUUUGUUUGCAAACUGGCGGUCUUUUAUUGGCACUACAAUGCCAUCCUCUCUGUACGAGUAAUCACCGUGGUGAUGGAUUUUGAGGUUUCCAAUCGAAGCUCUUGUUGUGGUCAUUUUAUUUCAUGGUAUGUUUUGCUCAUGUCAAUGAUAUAUCCAUCCAACUAGCUCUUAGAAACGCGAUACGAGAAGAUUAACGACGGGAGAAAGCAAAAAAACACAUUUUAAGCCAUAGACCUAAGGUAUGAGCGACGAGAACGACAAUAUAGUUUAUAGGGCGCUAUAACAAGCUUGUCCGAGUUGCCAUAGGCAUAGUUUGACGAGUUGCAAGAACACGGCCCCAUCAGCUAGGAACCGCAACGGUUAAAUGUGAGUCAUGGCAGGCUAAAAGGGUGAGCCUAGAGCACUGACCGUGCUGUAGUUGCUUUCAAAGCAUGCAAAGUUCGCUAGCUUUUUGCGGAUUCUGUGACAAGAGAUAGCUCAACCAGCGGCCACACUUUGCGUUUCGGCUUUCCAUUCCACCAUGUUUUCGUGAUGGGCAUGCUUGCACUAGCUUUACCAGGAUGGAAAGUUAGCAUCGGGGGCAAGCAGGGCAAGAUGUCUGUCAUGUUUGAGCAGCACCUAAAUGGCCAUGCGACCGGAAAAAAAUCUCCACCAUCCCAAGAACGAUUUGAGUUGCGGUUGAGCGUUCUAAGAGCUGCUGGCUCAUCGGUCUCUGCGUGAGAUUCGAUUUGGUUCUUAUACAUGUCGUCCUGUACACAGCACUAUGUGAAGGGAGCGUGUUGCUGGGUGAACGACGCUUGCUUCAUGCGCGAUGAGAUUUUUGCUCGCUUAAUGAUGAUUUUUUUUUCUGUGUUACCUUACGCUAUGCGGCUAGGCUAAGGCGCAACCAUCAACAACAAAAGCAUCGGAUGGUACGAGAGCGACUGGGCAAAUGAAACGAGAUAAAUAGCGUGCACAAGUCCGUGCCUAGGAAUAUUCUGUUCCGAUGCGAUGAAAAUCACCACUUCCCUUCAUUCUCGCAUCGGGAGUUUUGGCGUUCAUCAAAUAGAGAACGUCGGACGUGGGGAGUUGAGCGAAGUCAUAAGCUGGGGCACGGUAAGAACGAAUGGAAUUAAGGUGUGGUGGGCGAGGAAACUAAUCAUUUGAAUCAAAUCACAUUCGUUCUAACACCAUAGCCGUUCUAACCGAUGUAACUAAUGUUCCAACAGAGUUAAGCUUACGAUUGAAGCAGGCUGAAGAGUCAAGUAAAGAAAAGUGCCUAUAAGGAGUUAAAGAUGCUAUUACUCAGCAUUCGCUUAAGUCACAUGGUGCUGGUCAGCCUGUCACUAGUCGCACACGAGCUACAUUCGAGGGGCAUUUCACUCGCCAUUCCAGCACACUGCUGCGUAUAUGCUUUCGUGCUGUGUCAGUGAAAGAGAAUGGUUCUGAAAACGAACUCCAUAAAACUUUCCUGAAGCAAGAAUGGAUGCUGCUGUUGAUGAUGCCGGCUGUGGAUAUUAUGGUAUAGCAGGAACAAGCAAAAGCCGUGCUACUUCACCUCUGCUUACCUUUCUCUUCUCGCAUGCAUCAUCUGCUUUCCUGUCUAAUACUCGAUUAAAAUCGUUUGGAAAAGGAAUAAAGGAAGCGUACGAAAGUGUGGAAGGCAAAACGGUUGUCGGGAAAAAGAAGAACCUCCAAAUUGAUGCAGGCAGCUAAAGAACCAAAUUAAGAACCCAGACACGACUGAUUUGAGCAAGAUUCGAGAAGAAUGAAAAACAAAAACCUGCACACGUUUGUGACCGAGAAUCGUUGCAAGAGGAUAGACAGAGAUGCGCAACGGCGAAAGAAAACACGAAUAUCGUAUAAUUUCCUUUCGUUUGGAAUUAUUGCUGGGCCAUCAUCAAACGCACUGCACAAAACAUGGGCAGAUUCCGCAUACGUGUAGCGAACGUGUGGAGUGUUUUGGCUUCGUCUUGAGCGUAUCGUAUCGGUUGUGUUCUUUCUUGCUCGAUUAUGAUCAUUAGUGUUUUGUAUGAGAAGCUAAUUUUCAUAAGUUAGCGAAAGGUGUUUUAUUGAGCUUUGCUUCGAGAUUUGCGGUUGCUUCGAGAUGAAAAAAAACUAAAAUUUUACUUUUAGGUAAUUUUGCACCACCAAUGUUCUGAAUGAACAAAAAAUAGCUGGAACUUAUCCAUUUAAAAAAGAUGUUUUAUUUUUGAAAGGAAGAUAUUAUUUUUACUUAUAGUUAAUAUUAAUGGCAAUGUUUUUUUGUGUUUUUUUUAUAGAUACUUUGAGUUAUUUUAUUAGUUUUGAUAAAAAUCUUUUAGUAUGCUUAGUGUUACUCUCCUACAAGAUCGUGACAAAUCUCUUCUAAAUCAUCCUAACAUUCAAAGAGCCUAUGAAUUAGAAAUGUGAUAAUAAUAAGUCAUUCCUACCAGAUCAGCACCGUUAUACCAAGUUAAUACCAAGUCAAAUAAGCAGCACUAUAAUGAAAAAACAAGUGAAUACGUGACGUUUGAGAAUAGAUUAUUAUUCAGGAAAACAAAACUAAUUUCUGUUCGUCAACAAUAAAUUCUUACUUGAUGUAACAACCA